AAAGUCGUAACAAGGUUUCCGUAGGUGAACCUGCGGAAGGAUCAUUACAGAGUUUAAACUUGAUGCGUUGUUGCUGGCUCAAUAUUUUUGAGCAAGUGCACACUCGUCAUUUUUAUCUUUCCACCAAGUGCACUUUGCAUAGGUCUGAAGAAUUUCUAAUCAGAGAGUCAAUCUUUGAUUUCUGGGAACUGCUGUUAUUGCAACAGCUUUUCCUAACUCUUCAGAUCCUAUGAUUAAUAUAAAUAAACCAAUGUAUGUUAAAGAACGUUAUACAAGGCUAUUGUAGCCUAUAUAAAAUAAAUACAACUUUCAGCAACGGAUCUCUUGGCUCUC
rnacentral:misc_RNA from 1 species